AUUGAACGCUGGCGGCAUGCUUUACACAUGCAAGUCGAACGGUAACAGGCCGCAAGGUGCUGACGAGUGGCGAACGGGUGAGUAAUGCAUCUGAACGUGCCCAGUCGUGUGGGAUAACUACUCGCAAGAGUAGCUAAUACCUCAUACGAUCUAUGGAUGAAAGCGGGGGACCGUAAGGCCUCGCGCGAUUUGAGCGGCCGAUGUCAGAUUAGGUAGUUGGUGGGGUAAAGGCUCACCAAGCCAACGAUCUGUAGCUGGUCUGAGAGGACGACCAGCCACACUGGGACUGAGACACGGCCCAGACUCCUACGGGAGGCAGCAGUGGGGAAUUUUGGACAAUGGGCGCAAGCCUGAUCCAGCAAUGCCGCGUGAAGGAAGAAGGCCUUCGGGUUGUAAACUGUUUUUGUACGGAACGAAACGGCUCUGGUUAAUACCCGGGGCUAAUGACGGUACCGUAAGAAUAAGCACCGGCUAACUACGUG
rnacentral:rRNA from 1 species